AUGGAAUAUGACUUCGAUAAAGGGACCACGCCCAAGCGGUUUUGCUACAGCGGCUUGGCCAUGCCCACAGACAACUUUUCCGACGAUAAGAAGUUCGGACAAGGGGGCUUCGGCUUGGUGUACAAAGGAUUCCUCAAGGAACUGAACCUUCACGUGGCCAUCAAAAGAGUCUCCAAGGGUUCAAAGCAGGGGAGGAAGGAGUAUGCCUCUGAGGUAAGGGUCAUAAGCCGGCUUCGCCACAAGAAUCUCGUGCAGCUUAUCGGCUGGUGCCAUGGAGGCCGCGAGCUGCUCCUCGUCUACGAGUUGAUGCCCAACGGUAGCCUUGAUAGACAUCUCUAUGCUGCCAAUAACGCCAUGCUUCCAUGGUCGGUUAGGCAUGAGAUUGUGCUCGGGUUAGGAUCCACGCUUCUCUACCUACAUCAGGAGUGGGAGCAGUGCGUCCUGCAUAGGGACAUCAAGCCAAUCAACGUCAGGCUAGAUGCGUCCUUCAACACCAAGCUCGACGACUUUGGUCUUGCCAGGUUGGUCGAACACGGCCGAGGUUCGCUCACCAUGGCGCACGUCGGGACAAUGGGAUACAUGGAUCCAGAAUGCAUGAUCACUGGCAGGACCAACACCGUGUCAGAUGUUUACAGCUUCGGCGUUGUCCUCCUUGAGAUCGCCUGCAGCAGACGGCCCGUGGUGGUGGUUCAGCAAGAAGAAGAAGAAGAUGAUGAUGAUGCGGUCCACCUGGCUCAGUGGGUCUGGAGCUCGUAUGGAAGAGGGAAGAUUCUGGACGCCGCCGACACACGGCUGGGAGGACAAUUCGAUGCCCGGGAGAUGGAGUGCGUGUUGAUUGUCGGGCUUUGGUGUGCUCAGCUCGAUCUGAAGCUGAGACCGUCUAUCAGGCAUGCUCUUAAUGUGUUGCGAUUUGAGGCGCCCCUGCCUCCCCUCCCCUCAAGGAUGCGGGCUGCAAGCUACAUGCCACCAGUCAGUGGUAUAGACAGCUGUAGAUCUGAGUAA
rnacentral:rRNA from 1 species